GUUCAUUCAAUCAGAAUGUGGAGACAUCUGACUGAACUAAUCAGCAGCUAGGAGGGCUUGGAGAUCUGGAAAACAUGCAGGGUGGCGGCUCUCGAGGACCUGGAAUGAGGAACACUGGUCUAAGUCAUGUUUUUAGAGGAGCUACCGUCACCAAUCAUCAAUGAGCUUGUUCAGUCUUGUUCAGUCCACACCCCUGUCUGUCAUCUGACCCGAACCGGACCCUGCUGGCGAGGAAGACAAAGAACAGAAGCGCCUGUUGACCGUCGUUGAAAAAUCCACGUCUGGUGUGGAUUGCAGGAGGGAGCGGAUGGUGCGCGCACUCUGCUCCGCGGCGCUUUCGCGUCCAGUGUGAACCUAGCGUGAGGCGCUCCCGCUGUUUCUUCAUUAAGGGGAGAACAGACAUUCAAUUCAAACACACAAUUGAUGUGCAAUUAAUGGACAUUAGAAAAAAACAUUCUUUAUAGUAGUUAUACUGUUAUUCACGAUUUAUACUACAUUUUAAUUAGUAAAAACAUAAAAAAAAAA